rnacentral:rRNA from 1 species
AACGAACGCUGGCGGCAGGCUUAACACAUGCAAGUUGAACGCAUCCUUCGGGGUGAGUGGCAGACGAGUGAGUAAUGCGCGGGAACGUGCCCUUCAGUUCGGGAUAACCCAGGGAAACUUGGGCUAAUACCGGAUACGUGCGAGAGCAGAAAGAUUUAUCGCUGAAGGAUCGGCCCGCGUCUGAUUAGCUAGUUGGUGGGGUAAUGGCCCACCAAGGCGACGAUCAGUAGCUGGUCUGAGAGGAUGAUCAGCCACAUUGGGACUGAGACACGGCCCAAACUCCUACGGGAGGCAGCAGUGGGGAAUAUUGGACAAUGGGCGCAAGCCUGAUCCAGCCAUGCCGCGUGAGUGAUGAAGGCCUUAUGGUUGUAAAGCUCUUUCGUCCGGGACGAUAAUGACGGUACCGGAAGAAGAAGCCCCGGCUAUCUUCGUGCCAGCCGCCGCAGUAA